rnacentral:lncRNA from 7 species
ACAUCGCCACGCUCCUCCUCAGCGCACACGCGGACACGGAUCGCAGUGCUGACCCUCCUCUCCCCGCCGCCCGUCCCGUCCCGCCGAGCCCUGAGAAGGGAAGUGGCAGCAGGAGGGUUUGUUGUUCACAGCACCGGAGCUCUGGGAAGCAGCUGUCAGCGGCUGUGUGUGGAGACAGGACCUGAGAAGCGGCCUGCUCAGCAGCUUCUGCUGCACCGCCUUCUGCUGCGGGCUCCGUGAGCCUCCUUAAGGCCUUGGCAGAGCCUCAGCCUGAAUGAUCCCACAUCUGCUUCCCACAUCCCUUACCAGUAUUAGAAAGUUUCAACCCGACCACUGGAAGAUGGAAGUGUGUGGUCGAGAAGGGUCUGAUCUCAUGUCAUAGAACAAAUGCUGAAGUAACAAGAUUCCAUGAAGAUGCAAUCCUAUUUUUUUUUUAAGCAUGCGUAGGUUCUUUCCAAAAUGCACAAACAAUACAUCCUUGUGUUUAAAUAUAUUUGUUUUU